rnacentral:tRNA from 1 species
GGUAAAAUGACUGAGUAAGCUUUAGACUGUAAAUCUAAAGACAGAAGUCAAGGCCUCUUUUUACCA